rnacentral:rRNA from 1 species
UACGUAGGGUCCGAGCGUUGUCCGGAAUUACUGGGCGUAAAGAGCUCGUAGGUGGUUUGUCGCGUUGUUCGUGAAAACUCACAGCUCAACUGUGGGCGUGCGGGCGAUACGGGCAGACUUGAGUACUGCAGGGGAGACUGGAAUUCCUGGUGUAGCGGUGGAAUGCGCAGAUAUCAGGAAGAACACCCGUGGCGAAGGCGGCUCUCUGGGACGGUACUGACGCUGAGACGCGAAAGCGUGGGGGAGCAAACAGG